ensembl:lncRNA
CUUGUUUAUUUGAAUGUUUUAUACUCAUUAAAAAAAUCUUUCAGAUUUGAUUUUGACAUUUUUCACCCUUGUGAACACAUAAAAAGUAAAAUGUACUAAGAGAAAUUGGUUAAGAUAUAUCCAUGACAAUGAUAACCACAUCUUAAGACCAUCCAGCUCUCAGAAAUGUGAAUAUAUUCAAAAAUAAACAUCUGUGUACCCACCACCUUGUUUAUGAAAUAGAACAAUUGCCAACACUAUUGAAGCUCUUGAGUAAAUUUCCCUGAUGACAUCUCCCUCCUUUACGCCUGACGGUUAUCUGCUUUUUUUCUAAUUUUGCCAAAUAUCUACCCUAAAUAAUUCAUAGUUUGGUAUUGCGAUUAACAGUUUUGUACAUUGAGCUCAAGCGCAUGUGUUCUGUGACUGUUUUGACUUUAACGUAGGUGAGAUUCAUCCAUGCCGAUGUGCAUAGCUGCCCCCGUUGUAUCUCACAGUAUACAUAUUCCAUAAUUUAUCAGUUCCCCGGUUGAUGGACAUUUGGGGCUAUUUCCAACGUUUUGCUCUUACAUUGUGCUACAUUCUUAUAGUUGUCUCCCGGAACAGAUGUGUGAGAGUUUCUCUGGGGUACAUACUUAGAAGUGACAUUGCUAAGUCUAGACCAUAGCCUGACAAACACUGCCAUUCCCCUCCUCCCCGCCAAUGAAUAUCCCGAGGAAACAUGAGUCCUGUUCUUGCUUAAUCUACAGACCAGACUUAGUACUGUAUCUACAUUCAGGGCCUUCAGAGAGAAGAACAGCAAGAAGAGAAGAAGGUUGUGGUGCUCCCCAGCCCACAGGAGAUGACUUUCCUCCAUAACCUUGGGGAACCAAAGGCAGGCAGUGGUUGAUGCAAGAUGAAGCACUUCUCUUGGCUCCAUUGAGCAUGGGGGUGAGGUGGGGCUCCACUUGACUGGAGACUAGGGUCUCAGGCUUUAGCUUGUUUGAUGUCACAGAAUCCACUGUGAGGUCACUCCUGUGCUGUGAAAGAAGAAAACAGCAAUUCAUUCUGAAAAAGUAUGGUUUUAUUUAUUUAAAAUGAGGGGAAGCUAAGCUGAAAUCAGCUUUGUCUCAUGCUCUGGCUCUUCUCCUGAUGGGCUUUAGAAAAAGUCAUUGUCUCCUUGAUCUCAGAUAUGAUGGCAGCAGUGAUCGCCAGCCCUUCCCCACCCUCUGUUGUCUGCAUGAUCAGUUCUCUGCUGCUUUCCUCCACAGCUUUAGACCUGAUGAUGCCCACCUCUGUAUCACCUGAAGGACAGCAGGCUUUGAGGUUCUUUAAUAAAGAACCGAUCCUGCUGGGUCUCUGACUUGCUUUGAACCCAAAUUACUGUCAUUGCAAUAGGGUCAGCUUUGAGCUUUCAGCAAAGAGCCAGUCCUGCUGAGUCUCUUAUUUUCAGAACCUGGGGCCACUGUGUGGUAGUGUGGGCUUUGAGAUUCUUUAGCAAUGAGCCAAAACUGCUGGAUCUCUUACUUGCAGAGCCUGGAACUACUGUGUAUGCAAUAUGGUAGGCUUUAAAAUUUAUUUAAAAAAAGAGAGAGCCAAUUGUGUGGUGCUUUUACUUGAAGCCCUGGAAAAAAGAGGCAGAGCCAUAAGCAAUGACGGCGCUACAAGGACGACGAGGUCCUUGUGUCCUGUAAACUUCUCUCCACAUGUUGGCUGGUUCUGAUGGUGUUGACAUGACCUGGGGCCUCCGGGAGCUGGAGGCAAAGCCCCCUGUGCUGGGCCCCGGCUCCGCUGUGCUCCUUGCCCUCCUCUCGUGCUGCCCUGGCUCAGGAAAGUGCAAUAUUCGCACAACGUGUUUCUCUCCCAUUGUGAAUCAGCAAAGUUCCUAACAGGCCUGGCAGGUGACUUGUUUCCUUUACUCAGAUUCAGCUACACAACCCAGGAAAGUGGCUCAGGUUAAGUUCCAGGAUCUAACGUCAGAAUUUAAUGAAUAAUAAGGAAAAUGGAGCUCUUUUUCCCCAGGAAGUUCUCAGUGAUGGGGCCAACUGAGCCAGUCAUUGCCCUGAUGGGGCCGAAAGCUACACUCUCCUGUCACCUCAGACCCCCGCUGGAUGCCAAUCCAUGGAGUGAGUGGACUCAAGAUCGCCCCUUAGCUAAGACAGCUUUUAUGUCUGAUCAUCAGGGAACACAAUUCAGAAGGAGGACUGAGUUCUUGAAGAACGUCACCAUGGGGAGUGUUCAUCUCGGGCUGCAAGAUACACCCUUCCGGUGAAGGGCAGCACAGAUGUAACUUUGAGGAUUUGUCCAGUCACAGCAAUGUUACUUCCAAGUGUAUGUGGCAGGAUUAUGAAGUUCCCCGCGCGUUCUCUUCAAGAACAGUGAUGCCAGAGUGGACCAUCUGGUGUGUAAGGCUGCAAGGUGGUACCCAGAGCCUGAGGCAAGCUGGUGAGAUGCCUAACACAGAAUUUAAAGCCACACUCUGAAAACAGCAGAACAGAUGGAAACAGUCUGUUCUCCACUUCAUCUUCAGUCCUAGUAACUAGACUAAAAAAGCUGCACUCUGUUCCUCAACCUCCGGCUCAACCAGAAGGAGGAAAUAACUAUUUCUGUUGGCAGGGUAGUUUCUAUAUUACUACAUCGCGUCGCCUUGAGAAGUGUUUUAAAAGCUGUGUUUCUUGUAUAUUGUUGAAUUUCUAAUAGAAAGGAAAAUCAUUUUGAGUCUCUGCACUGUACUUUUUAGGCAACAUUCUAACACCAAAAUGAGUUGUGGUGUUCAAGGCUCCUACUUGGACUAGAGCUGCCAGCAUUUCUUUGCUAGGUGAAGUGUGACGCGAAAUUAAAAAUUCACAAUAUUCUUUCUUGAGCUUAGGUUUCUUAGCAGAAUCUGAUUUUUAGAUAAUGAAUAUAAUAAUUGUCAACAGCAAAUUGACUGGAAGCACAGAGAAGUUGCAGUUUUUCCUUUAUCCUUAAGAGGUUCUUUUAUUCAUAAUAUUUAUGCAAUGACAGAAUGAACAGUUGAAUUACAUUAAAAUCAUUGAAAUGAUGGCUUUGUCUGUAGGACACCAGGGAAGUGAUUUGUAUUAUUUUACUGGUUGCUUUAAAAACUGUGUAGGCGUGUGUGGAGUGAUGAGAUUAGGAUGAACCUACGCCUCUAUGGUAGACAGGGGCUACAAGAGAGGAGAAUUUAAAUGUUAUCAGAAAAAAGACACAGAGAAAUGGUGAGAUGCUUUAAGGUCAGCAUGAACUAGAUACUGGCUCUUUUUCGAAAUGGAACGUGUACUGACAGACAUUGCCACUUACCCGAACUGAUGUCAAUAUUUUCCUUCUUCAACAGAAAUAUUAUGUGGGUAAUUUUGAGUAUUAUUUUAACCGUGGUCUGCAUUCCCGUGAUUGUUUUCUUCAUCACGGUGCAAGGAAAAUCUAAAAGUAAGUGGGUUGGAGCGAUGUGAAGGCUGUCAUUUGAGUUUGUCCAUUGUUGGGACCUGGUGGAGAAAGAUGGUGACCUGGAAGAGUAAGACGGUUGUCUAGAAGAGUUAAAUGAUCUGUACAGAAAAGAGACGGAAAGCUUGGUGAGUAGGAACGCGAAGGAAGGACCAUUGUUUGGUAGCGUUAUUUCAGCUGGGAAUCUUGGUUUCAUCUUGGUACUGAACGGAGUGUGGUUCUCAGUCCUUCUGUUGGGGACAAGAUGUUAUUUGCUCAGCACAAGAGAAGCCCUCAUGGACCCUCAUCCUUCAGCCCCCCUCAGUGAGGCUUCAGCGAGGAAUGAUUUAGGGCUCUUACUCUCGGUUCUACUGCCCGGAGGAACCUGGUUCCCAUAAUGGAGCAGGUGAAAGGUCCAACAGCAAAACGUGGGACCUCACCACGUGCACUGCAGCAAAAGAAGAACAAAUUAUCAAAAUAAGUUUAUUAGAAAGAAGGCAAAGUACGGAAAUAACCCAUUUUAGAAUAAGGGGAUAACUUAAAGAUAAUUUAAUUUAAACUUUCUUAAACAUUCUCCACUGUUUCCCCAGAGGUUAAUUAGGAGAGGUUUGGGAAAUACUAGAUUAAAUAAAGUUAAAAUUUUUUUACUUAAAAUAUUAACAGAGAUGUUAAAUGGUAAUAUGAAUUAUGAAUGUCUAAAAGCAUUUAAUUUCAAGGAAGAAUAUUUCAGAAAGUAUUAAAUUAAAAAUAUAUAAAUGUCCAAAUUUUAUAAAGUAAAUUAUGGUUUGAAAAAAUAAAAUGGAAUGAAUUAGAGGGUUUUAAAAAAUUUCCAUGGAUGGUUUUUGUUUUGUUCUAUGUGUGUUUCUAAUCUUCCCAAUUUCCAUAAUAAGAAUGUAUAAUAGUCUGAAAAAAAAGUUUAGAAAAAAUAGUCUUCUGAUUUUUCUCCAGUCAUCCUUUCCAUGCUCAUCACUUAAUCAGAUGUAAGGUGAGGAUCCCCCUUUAAGGAAAAUGGUGGAUCACUUGCAAGCCAAACAUCAUUUAAUGGAUGUUCUGCUGGGCCACGCUUCUCUACAGACUCUGACCUCCUUGCUGGGUCCCUGCCUUCUCCUUCCUUUGAGGAGACCCACCGGGAAGGAUCACCUGGGAACACUGGGAGGGCAAGGUGUGGAUGGGGAAGGACAGAAGCCCCUCUCCUCAAGACAGACCUGUUUCUCUCCUGUGGUUUGGUCCAGUUGUUUCACAUGACCAGCAGUGGCCAGUACAUUGCCUUUUCCUAUCCUGGACCACUUCCUCUGCAAUUAAAGUCUAUAGCAUGGAAACCAAAGAAUGGUAGCAUGCACGGGGAGCUAGAUUUACAGUCUUUCCACCCAAUGAGUGAAUAAAGCAACAAACAACAGUCCAUCUUCUUGUCACAGAAUCAUAGGAGGAGUCCCAAAAUGGUAGGAAUCCUAACAAUUUCUUAUUCUGGUAAAAUUCCUGGAGCAUAAAAGGCAUUUGAUUAAUGUUGCAUUGCAUUACAUAUUGAACCCAAUCCCUCGUUUUGCAUGUGAGAAAACUGAGGUCAGGAGGCAUUCUGAGGAUAACUUAGUCCUAGUGACAGACUUGAGAUGGCGACCCUGAACAUCCAACUUCCAGUCUUGUACUUCCUGACUCUGCCCUGGUGUCUGUCCCAGGCAGGGACAAUUCUGAGUUAAAAUACCAUGUUGGCAAUAUUUGUAUUCAACAAGUGCCAGUUGGGACUCUCUUCUUUCCUUGAUCUAAGUAAACCUGCCCUCAAAAUGCUGCUGCAUUUUCCUAAUCCCACUUCCUCCUCAAUCCAAUGCACCUGCCGUGGACCCAUACACUUGCAAGGACUGACUUGGUUGUCUAGAGUGGCAACUAGAAAAUAGGUGAAGUCAUACUCAAUAGUCACCCAGGGGGACAUGGCUUAGCAUUGGCACUCAUCACCCACUGAGGGAGGCUUCAUAUAUUUAAUUUGUCCAAUACGGCUAAAUAAUUCAUAUCAAGCAAAACUUAUUACAUAUUUUAGAAUAGUGAUGGAGUAAAUAGCGAUUGUUUCCCUAUCACUCUUAUUUCUAUAGGGAGAAAAAUUUCUGCAAUAAAUGAAAGACUCAAAACUCUUUAAAAGUUGUAAUGUUUGUUCUGGGAUUGAUCCUCUUACCCAAAGCAGAGCUUCUGCAGCAUCUUCCGAAAGUUUGAUUUCUGGGAAGUUUGGGGCAAAUCUCUCUCUGGCUUUGCCCUAGUUCUUUUUCUUCCAUUUUGGAGGACAUGAACAUCUUCCAGGGAGUAAGUUGCCUGACCCCACGGCUGGAUGUGUUUGGAAAGCUCCAAAUGGAUUAGAGCAUUUAUUUUCCCCCACCCUCUCUAAGCUUCUCCUUUUAUCCAACACAUCGUCUCCAAAAUUUUCCAACCUUUUUUUUUUUGCUAUCAGUGAUUUCAGAACCAACACUUGGAAAGUUUCUUCACUUCCAAUAUUUUCUUUACAUUUUUCCUACGGCCUUCAUAUUUUAGAUUAUUCAAAUGCUUUGUUUUCAUAGUCUAUCUCAAGUAAUCUACAAUGAACAUUUUUAAAAAACAUUUUUCCCCUCCCUUCUUGCCUCCCUUCCUUCCUUCCUUCCUCUCACCUGUUCUCAUCCACUGCCAUCCCAGGCAUCACAGCCUGGGUCAAUAUGAAAGAGCCAAUUUCCCCUUUAACCUCAUACUCAGUUGAAUACAUAUCACAUUUAAUUCAUGAUAUUAUUAUCUGUUUCCCAUGAACAGUGUUACCAUUUUGAUGCCUGGAUUCACAAUUUUAUAACUUUUAAGACAUAGUCAAAAUAGAUUUCUCCAUGGAACUUCCUGAGACCACUUACAAGAAUUCAGAGUGUGCUCUACUUUCCUUGCUAACUGUAGUAGCAGAGAUCUAGUAAUUAUUCACACUUGUGUGCCAAGUCUUUUUUUUCUGUCUCUUCCUUCUCUGUGUCUUCUGAAGUUCCAUGGUCUUUGCUAGAAAUGUAAUCAUCACAGUUGACUUUGGUCUGAAAAUUGGUAACUUCAUCUUCUUACUCUUCAUCAAUCUUUGUAAUACGGUUGUUUUUAAUUAAAGUAAAAUUACAGACAUUUCAGUACAAUGAGUUUCUACCAUGUUUUGACAAUCUCAAACAGUAAAUUCUGACAGACCUUUUUUAUUAUAGUCUUUGGCCUCCUGUUAUCACAUUUGCAUAGUCUUUGUCACCCAUAACAGUUUAUAUGUCCAACAUUGGUGGAAAUAUGAUUCAAAUCUCUGGAUGCUUUUUGAUGUUCCCAUUCAAACUCUGUCUGUCUCUUGUUCUUGAAAAAUAUAGAUUCUUUUCAUUUAUUUUAAAAUUUUUUAAUCUUUUUUUUUUUCCUAGAAGUCUGUGAAGGCUACAAGUCUGCUGGAGAAUGGAAUUGAUAUUGACAGUUUUCCUUGUCACUGUAGUAAUAAAUUCCACAGAAAGGGUCAUCAUAUUUUCAGAAUCACAAUGGAAACCACUACUAUGGUCAAAAUUUCAUCACCAUUGAGUCUAGUCUAGCUGCUUCUCUCUCUCUCUCUCUCCUUCCUUUACUGGAUUCUUUUACUGAUCUCCUCCCACUGCCUGUGAGGCCCCCGAUUCCUGCUAUCCACAUCCAUAUGCUUACCUUAGUGGGACCAGCUCUACUUUGGGGCGGUGGGUGAAAACAUGCUGUGGUGACCUUGGUGCUCUCCAGGAAGGCUUCAAGAGAGCUGGCCGUGGGGCAAUAAAUCAUCCCAGUUUGUAUGGGAUUAGCCUGGUUUUAGUAAUGAAAGUCAUGUGUCCCAAGAAACCCCUUUUCAUGAUGCAAAAACUCCCAGUUUUCUGUAAAGGGUGCAGAAGUUUGGAGGAAAACUAUAAAACCAAUACAGCAGCUCAAAAAAUAGGUCUGAAAGCAAUGCACUUUUUAAUAUCAAAACAAAGCAGCAUAAAUCAUCUGCUUCUUUAGUCACUGUCUCUGGCUUUUCCCCGACCAUGGCUGUCAGUAAUCAGGAUUUGCAGCUCACCGUGAUGAAUCACCAUUGUUGCAUCAGUCUGAGUGAUACGUCUUAAGUGAGCAAAUUAAAUGCCUGGUAUUCAUCAGCAUUGCCCACCCAUCUUUGACUUUGCUUGUAGAUUAGCUGUUGUGCAUUGUAUUGAGAUAGCGCUAAGAUUUUUUUGAAAAAAUUCUGGCUGAAAACUUCCCAGAUUUGAUGAAUAGUACAAACUCACAGAUCUAAAAAGCUCAACGAACCCACAGCAUAAGUAUCCUGAAGAAAACUACACAAAGUCGCACCAUAAUCAAACAGCUUAAAUCCAGUGAAAAAGGGAAAAUCUAAAAACCUGAAAGAGAAAAAAGAUGCAUUAUUCUUAUUCUGUAAUAUAAGCAGCAAGACUAAGUUUCUCUUCCCAUUCAGUUCACGGCACGAUUGAGUUGACCUGUGUGCCACGUCUCUACCCUUACAGUGAAAAAAACAUUCAGAUCAUUUCAAGUUUACAUGAUUCCUCUCCUAUGACACUCAUCAAUCUGCCUUGCACUCUCUGUGAUUCAGCAUUUGGGAUUCUCAUGAGCAGGCAAAGAGAAAAAAGAGGAAAGUGAACAAUCCACUCUAAUGCACUGUGAGCUCCUGGAGAAGGUUAGUGCUUUCAUUGCUCUUGAUUCACCACCCACACCUGAGUCCACGGCCUUUCAGAAUUGUAUCGACAUCAAUAGAAAGUAAGAGGAGAAGAAAAAUCUGACAACCCACCCAGACUCCUCUGCGGUGGAGCUAAAGCUGAUGUGUUUCUUUCCCAUGGAAGAAGGAGUGGUGUCCUCUGCUUCCUGGGCUGCUCCAGACUUUUUCCUUCUUUUCCACCCCUAGUGGUUCCACAGCAGGCUACAGACCAGCAGAAGGACGAUGUUAGGGUUGAUUUGUCCUCUCCAGUGGACACGAUGGUGACGGGAAUGCCCUCUCUCGGGAGUUCUGUCAUUUUCCUGUCUUUCCUUCUAGGCUUCAGCACUGGUUUGGAGACCUUCUGGCUUCCUUCCUGUUUAAUAAUGCAGCUUUCAGUCUGCACACUUGAGAUGAGGGGUCCCGCUACUGGAACUUCAGCUGUUUCUGAAACAGGCUUGUCAGUCGUCUCUGCUCCUGCGAGCACCAUACACAUGCUGCCCUCUGGAGAGAGACUGGCAGCUCCUGCUGACGUGAGGGAAUUACUUGCUUACAAACAUGUUAAGUCCUCACCUCAUAGUGGGGACACGCCGGAAGCACCCGCCCUGGGCAUGACGGCUCUGCUUCCUCCUGGAUCCAUGAAGGCUGCUCCUGCCGGUGUUGAGUCGAUCUGUCCUGAGUAUCCACAGCACCUGCUGUGGCUCCUAUUGUUAUCUCUGCCACUCCUGCUGCUGCCCCUUUGUCAGGCACUGUAGGUUUCGUGACUGCAAGAGUGUGUACAGUACAUCUGCGAGGACUGCUGGAUUCGUCCUCACCCCUCUAAGCAUAAUCAGAAGAGAUGACCUUAAAGAUCUCAGGGAUGAUGUGGGGUCUCCUGAUUCUGACCUGAUUUGGGUGCCUUUCUCCACGGAUCUUCAUGAUCUGUGCUGAAAAGGAAAAGAAAGAAAAAGGGGAAAUGAAU